UGGCGGCGGCCCAACCAUGCAAGUCGAGCGGUAACAGAUCUAGCUUGCUAGAUGCUGACGAGCGGCGGACGGGUGAGUAAUGCAUAGGAAUCUGCCCGGUAGUGGGGGAUAACCUGGGGAAACCCAGGCUAAUACCGCAUACGUCCUACGGGAGAAAGGGGGCUCCGGCUCCCGCUAUUGGAUGAGCCUAUGUCGGAUUAGCUAGUUGGUGAGGUAAAGGCUCACCAAGGCAACGAUCCGUAGCUGGUCUGAGAGGAUGAUCAGCCACAUCGGGACUGAGACACGGCCCGAACUCCUACGGGAGGCAGCAGUGGGGAAUAUUGGACAAUGGGGGCAACCCUGAUCCAGCCAUGCCGCGUGUGUGAAGAAGGCCCUCGGGUUGUAAAGCACUUUCAGCGAGGAAGAACGCCUAGUGGUUAAUACCCAUUAGGAAAGACAUCACUCGCAGAAGAAGCACCGGCUAACUCCGUGCCAGCAGCCGCGGUAAUACGGAGGGUGCAAGCGUUAAUCGGAAUUACUGGGCGUAAAGCGCGCGUAGGUGGCUUGAUAAGCCGGUUGUGAAAGCCCCGGGCUCAACCUGGGAACGGCAUCCGGAACUGUCAGGCUAGAGUGCAGGAGAGGAAGGUAGAAUUCCCGGUGUAGCGGUGAAAUGCGUAGAGAUCGGGAGGAAUACCAGUGGCGAAGGCGGCCUUCUGGACUGACACUGACACUGAGGUGCGAAAGCGUGGGUAGCAAACAGGAUUAGAUACCCUGGUAGUCCACGCCGUAAACGAUGUCGACCAGCCGUUGGGUGCCUAGAGCACUUUGUGGCGAAGUUAACGCGAUAAGUCGACCGCCUGGGGAGUACGGCCGCAAGGUUAAAACUCAAUGAAUUGACGGGGGCCCGCACAAGCGGUGGAGCAUGUGGUUUAAUUCGAUGCAACGCGAAGACCCUUACCUACCCUUGACAUCU
rnacentral:rRNA from 1 species